rnacentral:lncRNA from 1 species
CUGAAAUAUUUGGUGCAAGGGCUCUGCCCCGGCUCCUAGCCAGAAUCGAGAGCAGACUCCUUCUAAGACACAUACGCCUUAUUGGCAUGAGGCCACCUUUGCCUAACAUGCUAUAUAAGCUAACAGAGAAAAAGCGGACAUUGGGAGACUCAGGACUACACGCAGGGAUUCUGCCCAACGGGACCCCGACCAGCCCCUGUCUUGGGAUUUCCCCAGUUGUCCUACGAUGUUGAGCCAAGGUGCUACCCCGACCGACUGGUGAUUUAUUAGAAUUGCAUGCAGGACUUCUGCCCAAUGGGACCCUGACCAAUUGCCUUCUGGGGACCUCCCAGUUUUCUCGGUGUUGAGGAGUUGAUUUUCAUCCUUCAGCCUGUCUCACAGAGUAAGAAGUUUACAGGAGCUCCAACCUGACCAACUGCCAUGUCCAUUUCAAAGACAAGAGUAAGGAAAGAAGCCAAGGCAAAUGAGCUUACACAGCCAUUGUAGCUUCAUCUAAGCUGUCUUCCCAAAGUCAAGACAAUAUCUCUUAUUCCUAAUUGGCCUGAAUUUCUCUAGUCAUAUUUUGCUAAGAGACAGAUCAGAAAUGACAACCAUUUGUUGUGGUAUUGCUAACCUGAAUAAAACUUAGUCUUUGUGCUUAACUGCAAGGGAAGAAAGAAAAUUGAGAGGGACAGCCAUUAUUUUUUCUCUAUUCUAAAUUCAAAGUCAAAAAGAAAAAUUAUGAGCUAUUAUCAGGUGUAUUUUUUUACUUCAUAAAUCAUCACUUUUCUCUAGGUGUUUGUUCAUUCCUAGGUGGAAAAAAGAAGUAUUGGUUGAUUGGACAAAGACUUCUCUCUUGAUUAAAUGAAGGUGUGUAAAGGAGAGGGAGAAAAAUUUCUGGUUAAGGAGAAAUGUGUUUCAAAGAAAAGAAAAGGAUGAGAUCCCAGCUGUUGACUCUGUGUUAGUUCACGUGCCACUGAAGUUUUGUUCAUAAAGUCUUUUCCUACACCAAUACCACAGCGAUAUAUGCACAUCCAUGUUUAUAGUGGCACAGUUUGUAAUAGCUAAAUCUUGUAAACAGCCCAAAUGCCCAUCACCUGGUGAGUGGAUAAAGAUGUGGGGGGGGGGUAUAAAAUGGAGUAUUACUCAGCCAUAAAGAAUGAGAAACUAGAGACAUUUAUAGCUAAAUGGAUGCAUAUUGAUGCCAUAGUCUUAAGUGAAUAAAUAGGACACAUGUGUAAAUACUGAAUAGUGUCUAUGGUGUGAGAAACUAAAAGUGUAAAUAAGUACCAAAAUGUAUAAUAGAUAAUCUGAAAUAGGAAGAAAAGAUCCAAAGGGGAAGGGGAAGUGGGAGGGCAAGGGUAAAGAAAGAAGGGGAAAAAUGUGAGAAAAGAAGAAAGAAAUGGAAACAAAGUUUUUUGUAAAUAGGGAGGGGUGGAGGGGUGGAAGGGAGGGAGAGGAAAGGGGGAAAAAGGAAGAAUCAAGAUAUACCAUGUAUAGGUACAAAUUCCCAAUGAUGAAUGUGAUCAUAAUACAUACCUAAAAUGUACCAAUAACUUAACAAAUAAAAAAAGAAAAAGAAAGGAAGUAUGAGUCAGUUGUUCUUACAAGCAAAUCUCAUGUUGCAAUCUAAUAUUAGACUGAAAAUGGUGCACAUUUGCCUCAGACCC